GGUUUAGACGAUCGCGAGUAGCCAUUAGAUCAGCAUUGGCCAAAGAAGGAAGAGUUUGGGAGGGUAAUGAAGACACAAGUGAAGAUAGAGUUAAGGUAGGGCGACACUCCGUGACGCCUAAAUAAAUCAUAAGGCGCAGUAGAUUAUUUCUCCAAGUCCUGUACCCUAAAGAUGUGGAAAUGCAGUGGUUGUGACUUGCCCCAUCUUAAGUUUGGAUAAAGAGAACAGUUUCAGACCACCUCGACAUAAAGCAACCAAUGAUUCCCUCACUGCAAUUGACUGCAACAUCGACUCUUUUUUUAUCAGAAUGCUAACCUCAAGAAAGAUCUUGGAGAAGAGAUGGUCGCACCUAAACCACUUUCAUUAAGACAAGUUUCAACCUUCGAUCUUUAUUUUCUUUUCUUCGGUCAAACGUAUAUAAGAAGAAAGUGCGACAGAAGAGAUAGAAUACAAUUUCAUAAACCGUUCCCACCAUUUACCGUCGACGAACCCACUCCUCCUGGUCAAAUUAGGUGGGGGUGGGAUGGGUGAGGAGGCUGUGACCUUACAGGAAUAAG